UCUGAUUGUCUGCUCCUGUGGUGU
rnacentral:piRNA from 1 species